AUGUCUCCUAUUAAGCCACUGGUUUUGAACCUCUUGAAGUGUAAACCGUGCUAAUGGAGCCUCGGUGUGUCCCGGGGGCAGGAUUACAGCUUAGUGCACAUUCAGUUUGCAGCUUUGGGUCACACGGAAUCCGCAAUUGCCGAGCAGUUCCUGUAGGAGGCAGGAGCGUGCAUCUUGAAGAGCGAAAUGCUACACCCCAAUGCCGUGGACCGCAUUGUUAAACCUCGGAAAGGUUCUUUCUUUUCAUUCUCCUUAUAUUUUUUGCAGCAGGCUCUUCCUCGACAUCUAACAACGGGCCCUGGGAGUGGAGAAAGGAAUCGUCCACAAGCUGGGGGUUUCAGUCACGUUGCACGUUGCUGAAGGGUGUGAGAGAGAGAGAGAGCUCAAUAGAUAUAAAGGCAGGGGAAGAGUUAAAGAGUCAAGAGCAACGCUGUUCAACCAUGGAGAGUUAAACGGAGCCGGAGGACGCAACGGUGCGGCCACUAUCAACACAGCUCGGGGGACUGAGGGUCAGAAAACGGGGCGAAUCGUAAAGAAUGCAAGCUGAUGGCCUGUGUAAUCCAGUGAGAAAGUUUUCGCACUGCCGGAAGGGUAACGUUUUACCAAGCCUAAGCAUGCAUCUUUAAGUGCAAACUAAAAGCAUCACUUUAGUGUUUUUGUUACAUUUAAUUCUCCGAUCCGGGUGGUUGUUCUUGGAGAUUUCUCUUCCCCCUCCACACACACAUACACAAGAGACUCGGAGAGAGGCAGGAUAUCGAGGGCGAAGUUUCCCAAUGCUGCGGAUUUAUCCGAAGGACGCACUUUCUGGUGAAUUAUCCACGGAGUAACAAAAACUGAGCUUUCAAACCUUGCCUUUGAAGAUCGUCCCACAGGAGAUUGUGUUGGGGUUUGCUGUAGCAUUUCGGCACGGGACGGUAGAUCGAGCACGGCUGAUUUUUUUUAAUACCAUCAAGUGGUGACGGGACUAAUGCAUGACAUCAGUUAACCAACAGUGGUUUCAGAAGUGAUUCUCUAAGAGUGCCUUCAACAAGUUUCUAUUCCUCCCAGACUGACGCACCACUAUGUUACUGAAAGAAUACAGGAUCUGCAUGCCUCUCACUGUGGAAGAGAGUGUUCUGGGGGCAGCCCGCAAGUGUCGCCACGCUUCCGGCACUAACAUAGCAUGCCCACAACUUCCUAACCCAUAUGUCUUUGGAACGUGGGAGGAAACCGGAGCACCCAGAAGAAACCCACGCAGACACGGGGAGAACGUACAAACUCCAUACAGCCAGCGGCUGGAAUUGAACCUGGGUCUCUGGUGCUGUAAUAAUGUUAUGCUAACUGCUACA